GACGAACGCUGGCGGCGUGCUUAACACAUGCAAGUCGAACGGAAAGGCCCCUUCGGGGGUACUCGAGUGGCGAACGGGUGAGUAACACGUGAGUAACCUGCCCUUGACUUCGGGAUAACUUCAGGAAACUGGGGCUAAUACCGGAUAGGAAUCCUUGCUGCAUGGUGGGGGUUGGAAAGCUUCGGCGGUUUUGGAUGGACUCGCGGCUUAUCAGCUUGUUGGUGGGGUAGUGGCUUACCAAGGCUUUGACGGGUAGCCGGCCUGAGAGGGCGACCGGCCACAUUGGGACUGAGAUACGGCCCAGACUCCUACGGGAGGCAGCAGUGGGGUAUAUUGCACAAUGGGCGGAAGCCUGAUGCAGCAACGCCGCGUGCGGGAUGACGGCCUUCGGGUUGUAAACCGCUUUCAGCAGGGGCGAAGCUUGUGGUGACGGUACCUGCAGAAGAAGCACCGGCUAACUACGUG
rnacentral:rRNA from 1 species